rnacentral:rRNA from 1 species
UACGUAGGGUGCGAGCGUUGUCCGGAAUUAUUGGGCGUAAAGAGCUCGUAUGCGGUGUGUCGCGUCGGCCGUGAAAACCUGGGGCUUAACUCUGGGCGUGCGGUCGAUACGGGCAUCACUAGAGUUCGGCAGGGGAGACUGGAAUUCCUGGUGUAGCGGUGAAAUGCGCAGAUAUCAGGAGGAACACCGGUGGCGAAGGCGGGUCUCUGGGCCGAUACUGACGCUGAGGAGCGAAAGCAUGGGUAGCGAACAGG